rnacentral:tRNA from 1 species
CAAGUUAAAGCUUUGAUGAAGCAUUUUAUUUACAUUAAAAAGAAUACUUAAAUUAUAGUAUAAUUUGA